UCUUGUGUUGUCAUUGGUUGUUGGCAGAAGGUGAGCUGAUUUUCUGUCUUUGCUACCUGAUAAUGCUCCAUGGUGUUUGUAUCCCAUUAGAAGGCCCUGCUAUUGCCCUCUUUUGCAGUAUGCAUGAGCCAGCAGUGUGCUCUUGCAGCCCAGAAGGCCAUGAUAUUUUUCUGUAUAGAAGUAAUGAAGGCCCUUGAAGGACCUGCAGAGUAGUGGGAAGCUUUUUAUGGUUGCAGUGUAGGAAGAAAGGCAGAAUUACCAGAGCAGCUUUCCAGGUUUUGUGAUCACUAUGGCUGGGGUGAACUGGAAGAAUUACACAGCUUAUGUGGGUGAUAGCGUUCAAUUGGGCAGCAGCACCAUUCUCUAUCUGGAAAGAGGGUGAGUUUUCAUCCUACCUGGAUACGCAUACCUAGGGCUGAGAAACACAUUGGAGAAGUUAAAUACCUAUCUAAUAUCCUUGAACAUUCUGCCUUUGUUUUAAGUCUACUUAGUGCACAUCAUUUCCGCCUUGGUGAGAAUGAAAGCAUUAUUUAACACCUUGCAGUUCAUCUUCAGGAAACAGCUCUACACUUUGACCCUUCUACUACCCCUCAGAUGCUUGAACCAAGUUUUCAAUGUGAAUGCAUGCCAGCUAGCUUUGUAAUAUGGAACUGUCAGUCCAAAGUGAGGAACAGCAUGUGAAGAUCUGGUAAUAGGGAAAAGAGAGGCUAUCUGUAGAAGAGAAGGAGUAGUUAAUCUAUGCUUCUCCAUGAAUAUUUAGAAGCAGUUCCUCAACUUGUGCUAUGGAAUAUUACAGAAGAAAAAAUAGGAACCUUCUUAUUUAAUCUUAUUUAUUGAUUUAUUUUAAAUAACUUUGCCUAGAUUGCACAAAUGCAUAUAGUCUGCAUAAGAAUGUGCUUGCUACUGGAAUUACAUGGUCUUUCACAGAUCUCUUUCUGAAAGCAAUGAAAUCUGCUUGCUAAUCAGCUACAGGAAAAAUAGAGCAUUCCCCCACUCCCAACCUCAGUGCAGGAAGGGGCUAUGCUAGAAUGUUGCACUCAGGAAAACUUGCAGAAAGACUUGAAUCUAUUUAGCAAACCUAAAAGGAAAACUGAUCAUAGAGUGUAAGUCCCAACAGAUGGGAAAGAUUUCUGAUAGCCAGGGGCUUUCAGUCUAACUAACAGAGUAAGAUUCAGUCAGUAAAGGUUGGAAGCAGAUGGAUUCAAGUCAGAAAUAAGGUGCUAUCUGGGAACUGUAAGGGAGAUCAGGUUUUGAAGUGAGAAGUAGCUUCUUGAUUGCCUGGAGUCUUUGAAGCAUGAUUCAGGGCCUUUGUGAAAAUUGUGUACCCUAUCACACAUGGGGUUGAAUUCCAGAACCGUGAGGUGGAUUUGGUGACUGAGCCAAACUCACCCUCCUUGAUCACCUUGAGCCUUAUGCAUCCAGGGCAUCUCCUGCCUGCUACUUGUGGAUUUACCUGCAGCUAGCCUGGGACUCCUUGGGCAGGGGGAAUUCAUCUCUGCCUUGAAACUCUUCUAUAAGAAAGGUAACUCUUCUAUAAGAAAGCCUUGUUUGCUCAUCCUCAGCUGUGUCCAACCAAGCCUAUGAAGUGACUCAUAAACAAUUUUAGCUUGUACAUCACCAGAGCAGUGCUUGGAAACUUGAUCCUACAAGUGAGAUAGUCCAGAUGUGUCUAUGCUGGACCACUCUAGUUUGUCACCGGGGAUCAGCCAAGCUUGGAUUAAAUAUGUAUCACCUGGAGAGAUCGGAGCAGAUGAAACAAAUGGAUCCUCCCCAGAGCACUACCAUGGGUUCUGCUGCAUUGCAAAGCUGCUAAAUCAUUAACCAUCAUGCAGAGCUCAUCCAUCCCACUGCAUCAAUCCAUUUUCUAUUGGCAAAGGUGAAAUUGCAGUCCACCAGCCAGGGAUGCCAGUGUCUUGUGGAAAACAGAAGGGUUCCAAGGUGAAUCCCCAAAGAUGGAAACAAGCUGGGUAAAAGAAAACGUGCCAAAGGCUACAACUGCUGCAAUGGUUCACAGGUCUAGUUUCAGAGCUGAAAGGUUCUGCCCUGCAUUUUGCUAUGGGAUGGAUUCAUCUUGCAGACAGAUGCAAUAAGUUCAGGUAACCAGCUCAUCACAGUCCCAUUGUGGUCAGCAGUGAUGUGCACAGAGGAACCCCAAUGUACCUUUCCAGCUUCCCACAGUUAGGAAAAAAGUCCCAGUAGCAUUUCAGAGUGAAAUGGAGAAGCACCAGCCUUUGGGCAUCAAUUGGAAAAGAGUGAGGAUGAAAGGUGCACGACCCAGAGGAGGAGAAGGAUAAAAUGUGUUCCUUCGGAUACGAAAUUGAUUGAAAACCUACUGCUGUGAAUAAAACAGGGCUGUUCUUCUUAUACAAUGGACAACUCUUUUGCUUGGAGCCUGAGCUCGUGUUUCACUGCAGCAAAAGUAGUUGGAAGCACCAGGAUGGUGUCAAACACGGGACAGCUUGGCUCAGUAACCAUGUGGGCUUUUGGAGAUGUACAUGGCAGAAGUCCCUUGGAGAGCCCCCCUGGAGGAGAGGAUGUGCAGCAUCUCCCAUCAGGCCAAAGGCCAUAAAGAUUUCCAUUCGAGAUGGCUCUCAGUUGAUGAAAGAAAAUACUGACUUGCUGUAUGUGAAGCUUGCAUAGGGCACAGAAAGUCCAUGGAGUCAUAAGUAGCAAAGAGGAUGCAGAAGUGCUGCACAUCCCAAUGAAUUGCCAGAGGGUGUCUGACCAGCCAUCAGAACUUAAGGAACAAGCUUUUAAAGAAAUGAUACAACGAACAGUGGGAAAUGAGCAGGAACAGAUGGCAUUCACCCAAGAGGUUUAAAGGAAUUCAAUAUGAAAUUGCUGAUCUGCUUGUUGUGUUGUGCAAAGUAUUGCUUAAAUCAAUGCCAGUGUUACAGCAGUGUAAGACAACAAAUGAGGAACAAGCUUUUAAAGGAAGCUCUGAAGCAUCUGGAAGAAUACAGACAUGAUCACGGACUGGUAAAAACCAGUCAAAAAAGAGUAGCUGAAUAGAUAUAAAGCAUGUUCUCUCUUUAAAAAUAUGAGAGUUCUUUGAGGGAGUUGAUAGGUACACAGUCGAUAAACCCAACUGAUGCAUUUGUAUUUCCAAAAAGCUGUCAGUGAGGUCCCUUCAGUAGCAACUCUUGAGGAAAUGAAGCUGUCCUGAAGAAAUGAGAGGCCUCUUCAUAAUUAGUCAGUGGUUGAGAUGGAGGUAAAAGUAAAUGAUGAAGUUUUUACAAUGAAGAUAAACGAACGAAGCCUUUAAAGCAGCCAAAUCUGAAUGUGCCUAUGAAAAGCUGAAGGAAGAGCUCACAAUUCUGAAUGAUUUGGUGGUAAAAUAGCAGAAGAGGUUCAUGGUCAAUAAAGGCUGAGUCAUAAACAGAGAUGAAAACAGCCCUGACUAUACACACAUAAUCACAGGGUGUGAAUGAAAUAGAUCUUGGUAGUGUAGAAAGAACCAUGGAAAUGCCUGCUCAUGCCCUCAGCAGUGCCAAAGCCAGCAUACAGGCAAUUCCUGCUGGGGAUUUCUUGCUGGGAGGCUGACUACAAGGGUGUGUAUGUCACCCUACAUUCAGGAAUUCUCUAGACUAUGUUUUACUGAAAGCUGGGGGAUGUGCUGGGGGAUAUACUGGGGGAAAUGCUAUCUUGAGCUUGCCUGGAGCAAAGCAGAGCAGAGAGGGACAAGCAUAACAACUUCUGGUCACCUCUCCACGUAUUUAUGAUGCUCCUGUGGCCCUUAUGAAAGUUAGUCUGCAAGGAAGUCAUUUUAGGGCACUGCGAGACACGACAGAAGUUCUCCAAACACCAUUCCUUUUAUGAAGGAAAAUAACUAGAAGCUGGAUAAACAAUUCAUAUUGUUCCUCAUUAGUUCACACUAAUCAGUAGAGUGUCUCAAAUAAGCAUUUAAUUAAGAAUUAAUGUGGCGGCUGUUAUAAAAUGAAAUAUUAAUUGGAAAAGGAAAAUUUCAGGUUUGUUUAGGUGAAAGAAUUCUGCCCGCCUCACGCUUAACUUGAUUACACAAGUGCUUUCCAAUUCCUGAAUUGUUUAAUGUAUACAAGUCAUAAGGACCUGACAUUUAACAAGGGAACACUGGCAAAUUAAUUCCAUUCAGUGCUAAAAACGCAUCUUGACAUUUGGUGGUUGGUGUGUUAACCAGCGCUUCCUCAUCAGAAUUGCAUGUUUCACUGUGUGCUAAUUAACUGCCCUGUUAUCCCAUUUCAAAAGAAUUAAGAAACAAUUGGGAUUUAAUGUAUUACUAAUAAGUGGACUGAUGUCAGCUGCAAGAU